UACGUAGGGGGCAAGCGUUGUCCGGAUUUAUUGGCGUAAAGAGCGUGUAGGCGGUCCGGUAAGUCGGCUGUGAAAGUCCAGGGCUCAACCCUGGGAUGCCGGUCGAUACUGCCGGACUAGAGUUCGGAAGAGGCGAGUGGAAUUCCCGGUGUAGUGGUGAAAUGCGUAGAUAUCGGGAGGAAGCACCACGUGGCGAAGGACGACUACCUGGCCUGUUCUUGACGCUGAGGCGCGAAAGCUAGGGGAGCAAACGGG
rnacentral:rRNA from 1 species